UACGUAGGGUGCAAGCGUUGUCCGGAAUUAUUGGGCGUAAAGAGCUCGUAGGCGGUGUGUCGCGUCGGCCGUGAAAACCUGGGGCUCAACUCUGGGCGUGCGGUCGAUACGGGCAUCACUUGAGUUCGGCAGGGGAGACUGGAAUUCCUGGUGUAGCGGUGAAAUGCGUAGAGAUCGGAAAGAACACCAACGGCGAAAGCAACUCUGCUGGGCCGACACUGACACUGAGAGACGAAAGCUAGGGGAGCGAAUGGG
rnacentral:rRNA from 1 species